rnacentral:rRNA from 1 species
UACGUAGGGUCCGAGCGUUGUCCGGAAUUAUUGGGCGUAAAGGGCUCGUAGGCGGUUUGUCGCGUCGGGAGUGAAAACACGGGGCUUAACCCCGUGCCUGCUUCCGAUACGGGCAGACUAGAGGUAUGCAGGGGAGAACGGAAUUCCUGGUGUAGCGGUGAAAUGCGCAGAUAUCAGGAAGAACACCUAUGGCGAAAGCAGCUCUCUGGGACGGUACUGACGCUGAGACGCGAAAGCGUGGGGAGCGAACAGG